AUUGAACGCUGGCGGCAUGCUUUACACAUGCAAGUCGAACGGUAACAGGCUUUCGGGUGGUGACGAGUGGCGGACGGGUGAGUAAUGCAUCGGAACGUACCCAGAGGUGGGGGAUAACGCAGCGAAAGCUGGGCUAAUACCGCAUGUGAUCUGAUGAUGAAAGCGGGGGACCGAGCAGCAAUGUUUGGCCUCGCGCCUUUGGAGCGGCCGAUGUCGGAUUAGCUAGUUGGUGGGGUAAAGGCCUACCAAGGCGACGAUCCGUAGCUGGUCUGAGAGGACGACCAGCCACACUGGGACUGAGACACGGCCCAGACUCCUACGGGAGGCAGCAGUGGGGAAUUUUGGACAAUGGGCGAAAGCCUGAUCCAGCAAUGCCGCGUGCGGGAAGAAGGCCUUCGGGUUGUAAACCGCUUUUGGCAGGAACGAAACGGUGUCCGCUAAUACCGGGCGCUAAUGACGGUACCUGCAGAAUAAGCACCGGCUAACUACGUG
rnacentral:rRNA from 1 species